rnacentral:other from 1 species
GUUCUGGAGUGUUCGCCAGCUUGAUAUGUCUCGAGCCGAUAAAUUUUUCUAGGCAUUCGUUUCUUGCAAUGUGUGCAAGUCCCCUCGACGGGAAAGCCUAAUUUGCAAACGACGUUCGCCACCUUGAACUGUCGGGUUCAAGGUCUUAUCCGGCAGCGGCACCUCCGGGC